rnacentral:rRNA from 1 species
AACGAACGCUGGCGGCAGGCUUAACACAUGCAAGUCGAACGGGCCCUUCGGGGUCAGUGGCAGCCGGGUGAGUAACGCGUGGGAACGUGCCCUUCAGUUCGGAAUAACCCAGGGAAACUUGGGCUAAUACCGGAUACGUGCGAGAGCAGACAGGUUUAUCGCUGAAGGAGCGGCCCGCGUCUGAUUCGAUAGUUGGUGAGGUAAUGGCUCACCAAGGCGACGAUCAGUAGCUGGUCUGAGAGGACGAUCAGCCACAUUGGGACUGAGACACGGCCCAAACUCCUACGGGAGGCAGCAGUGGGGAAUAUUGGACAAUGGGCGCAAGCCUGAUCCAGCCAUGCCGCGUGAGUGAUGACGGCCUUAGGGUUGUAAAGCUCUUUCGGCGGGGACGAUAAUGACGGUACCCGCAGAAGAAGCCCCGGCUAACUUCGUGCCAGCCGCCGCGGUAAUAC